rnacentral:rRNA from 1 species
AUGAACGCUAGCGAUAGGCUUAACACAUGCAAGUCGAGGGGCAGCAUGGUCUUAGCUUGCUAAGACUGAUGGCGACCGGCGCACGGGUGCGUAACGCGUAUGCAACUUGCCUCACAGAGGGGGAUAACCCGUCGAAAGACGGACUAAUACCGCGUACACUCCAUCUUGGGCAUCCAAGGUAGAGGAAAUGAAAUUCGCUGUGAGAUAGGCAUGCGUCCCAUUAGCUAGUUGGUGAGGUAACGGCUCACCAAGGCGACGAUGGGUAGGGGAACGGAGAGGUUGACCCCCCGCACGGGUACGGGGACGCGGACCACACUGCUCGGGGAGGGAGGAGUGAGGUAGAUAGGUGAGGGGGGGAGGGUCUAACCCGGCCAAGUGGGGGGAAGAAUAACUGUGUUAUGGUGUAUACACUUUUUUUAUGGAGAAAAAACAGGAGGCACGUGUGACCCCCUGAAGGAACCGUAUAAAUAAGCACCGGCAAGCCCCGUG